rnacentral:rRNA from 1 species
GGACUACUAGGGUAUCUAAUCCUGUUUGCUCCCCACGCUUUCGCACCUCAGCGUCAAUACCAGUCCAGUCAGCCGCCUUCGCCACUGGUGUUCUUCCGAAUAUCUACGAAUUUCACCUCUACACUCGGAAUUCCACUGACCUCUCCUGGAUUCAAGCGAUGCAGUCUCAAAGGCAGUUCUGGAGUUGAGCUCCAGGCUUUCACCUCUGACUUACAAAGCCGCCUACGUGCGCUUUACGCCCAGUAAUUCCGAACAACGCUAGCCCCCUCCGUAUUACCGCGGCUGCUGGCAC